GUGCGUUUGACCUGACCGGGAUGCAGGAAAUGCAGUGCCGCCGCCACACAGUUCAGUUUGGUGAAGGACAUCGCGAUGGAUGAAUGGAGCGCCCUGUACACGCGAUGCAAAUGAGCUUCUUGUUGAUCAGCCCAAAGAUGUAGACGCGCACAACCUCCGGCACCAGGCUGAGGCCAGCCAGCUGCAGUCCGUGUGACCAGUGACCGCUGGUCAUGUCGACCUUGCCGAUCGUGCAGCCAGCGUACGCCAUAAAGUUGUCCACCCGGACCAUCAUAUUUUUGCUCCAUUUCUCCUUGCCCGUGACCAGGAAGUCGGUCAUGUUGGUGUGCACGAACGAGGGACGGACGGUUUGCACCUCCACCCCGAACGGUCGCAGCUCGUCGCGCAGCGCAAUCGAGAAGCUGGUCAUGUACGCUUUCGAGGCGGCGUACGUGGCCAUACAGGGCGAAGGGCCAACGGAGGCAAUCGAGGACACGUUUAUGAUGAGACCCCGCUGCCGUCGUUUCAUGGAGGGUGCAAGGAUGUUGCAGAGCAGCGUCGCAGCGGCCACAUUCACGUGGAUCAAGUCCCAAAGCGUCUGCUGCGGCACCUCGUCAACGUACAUCGGUGUGUCGUGCGAGACGCCAACAUUAUUGACUGUGCAAAACCAAACCCCAAUUAGAGUGUUACAGUGCGAAGGGGAGGGGAAAGGAGGCGUGGAGCCGACACUUACCCAAAAUGCCAACAUCCAGCGGAACGAGUGCUUUCUCGAGCUGGGGAUAGAUCUCAGCGCCUUUGGAGAAAUCUGCCACCAGAACCUUGGUCUCCACACCGUGCUUGGCCCUUAUUUCGUCGGCUACCUUGUUUAGCUUGGCUGCAUUGCGCGCUACCAGCACGAACGCCAUACCUUUCGCCGCGAGGUAGUGUGCGUAUCCCUUUCCAAUGCCGUCCGAUGCACCGGUGAUGACUAAAAUUGAGUCGAAGAUUGAGUCACUGGUUUAAAACCAACGCAUAGGAAAGCGGUCGGAACUCACCGGCCCAUUGGCCAUAUCGUUGAGAGAGCUUCUGUCGGAACACCAGCUGCCUGAGGGUCUGUAGCACCAGCAGCACCGGAGUGCGGAAGUUUUCGUACAACCAUACGGCAGCCACGUAAACCCCGAGACAUGCAGCUAACGAGCAGUACAUGUUGCCGGUUUCAAUAAUCGCAACUUACUACACUGCACGAGCAAUUUAUCGGCUCAAUGUACUCUACUUUACGGCCGAGAAAGAGCGAAUGACGUUUGACCGGCAAGGCGCAGUGAAUGAAUGCGCAGCAUAUCGUGAUAAACGACGUCUCGUAAUCAGAAUGACAUAAACGAAUAGUACGGGGCGAAAGGUGACCAAACAAAUGGUGCAUGUAGCAUCAGCCAAGGCAGCAUUUCAAACAGAUUUAGCUUAACUUCACGUUUCGAAAUCGGCACUGAUAACGAUUCACGAUGAGAGUGCUCAUUUCGUACGAUAAGAGUUCGAAGGGAGUGAUUGAGAGCGUGUAAUGGGAAACAACAGCUGCUGUAUGUGCAGGGUUGUCAAACUCAAUCAAAGUGGGAACUAUUUGCGUCGUUUUUUUUUUUUCGCUAAAAGAGUUAUGGUGAAUGAACUAUAUAUUUAAACUUACACUGUGUAAUCUGUUAUUUUUGUUCCAAUAAGAUUUUUUAAGAGUACAAAAAUAAAGAGCUACAAGGAAUUGGGUUUGACACCCCUCAA